GAUAGAACUUUUUCAAGUGGUUAGAGCGUCCGCAUCGGAUGCGGGAGGUCGUGGGUUCGAUUCCCAAUUGAGUCA